GCCCGGCCGGUGGCGCGUGCCUGUAGUCCCAGCUACUCGGGAGGCUGAGGUGGAAGGAUCGCUUGAGUCCAGGAGUUCUGGGCUGCAGUGCGCCAUGCUGAUCGGGUGUCCGCACUAAGUUCGGCAUCAGUAUGGUGACCUCCCGGGAUCGGGGGACCACCAGGUUGCCUAAGGAGGGGUGAACCGGCCCAGGUCGAAAACGGAGCAGGUCAAAACUCCCGUGCUGAUCGGUAGUGGGAUCACGCCUGUAAGUAGCCACUGCAUUCCAGCCUGGGCAACAUAGUGAGACCCCGGCACU
rnacentral:SRP_RNA from 1 species